GAGAGGAGCGACCCUGCAGCCCUGACGCGGGAACCGUGACGUUGGUGAUAAUCACGCCUGGCUCCUGGAAGGAAAAGGGAAGAGGAGGGCUGGAAGGUGGCACGGUCCCUGUGAGCACAGCCGGCACGGCUUUUCCCAGCGCUCCCACGCUGGGUUUGCUGGCACGACCUGGCUCCCGCGACUCCAAAAAAGCCCCCCCGACUCCAAAAAAGCCCCCCCAAAUCGCACCGCAGCGGUGGGGGGGGAAUAAGGAACGAGCACUCAAUUGCAAAGACACACGCUGGUGCUCACGGCUGACGCCAACAGCUUUCUGGUGGGUUAAUGCCCCGGGAGAGGCUCAGCGCUGCCAAAGCCCAUAUUUCUCCUCCGAGCCAAGAACCAGCUGGAGAUGUUUGCUUUUAGCGGAGAAGAAAAACAACAACCAGCCCCCAGCAACCCACAACGCUGUUUCCCAUUAGCCUUCCCCUGGGCAUUAGGGGAGAGGUGCUAAAUAAAUGAAGUAAUGCAAUAUUAAGACUCCCUCUGUCAUGAGCAGUAUCCACUCUCUCCUGAUUGCUUGCAGUCAGAUGCUGAAUUGCUGCUAAAAGGACUUUCGAGCCGAGGGCUGGAAGCAGAAGCCCCCCGCUCGUUCCUCGUUUGCGCUGAGUAAUUUCCUCAGCUUCUGGCUCUGCUGCUGCCACGAAGGCGACCGGGACGGUGUGGGCUCUGGGUUCCCCUCUGCGCUGGGGAUGGGGAAAGCUGCUGGGUACUCCCAAGUCCGCGUUGCAGCUCGCUCGGCUCCGGGCGUCCGUCAGGGCUUGCGCUGCCUCUGCAGAAGGAGCCGCUCUGGGAGAUUUUAUUUUGCAAGAGAGCAGGGGCACAACACGGGCACCGGCAGCCCCAAGUUACCACCGACUCGAUGAAUCGGGGUCCCAGGUUCCAGGGAAAGCUGGACCAGACGGUCAGCAGGAUUUCCUCCAAACAGGGGUGUAAAAAGUUAACUUUUGGACAAGUUUAUGGAUCUUUGGCACUGGAAUUACAGCUUUUUUCAGGAGGAGAUAUUUUCACACACCGAUGGGAUUUGGCAGAAUAACCCCGCGUCCCUCGUCGUUCGUGCAGACCAAGGGCGGCCACGUUGGCACGCGGCUCCGCGGCUCCCUGCGAUGGAAACUUUGACAAAACCCAUUUGCUAACGCUGCAUCGCUGCUCUGCUCUCCCGCUGCAGUAUCGUGUCCCGCUGUAAUUUCGUCUCCCGCCAUUACGCGCUGCAAACCCUGGAAGAAGUUCAAAAGCGGAGGCAGAGACACGCUUGCAAAAUACCCUUUCAGCGCCGUUUGCUGACCCGUGGCGAACUCCUCUUGAGCAAGCCCCUGCCCCGGGUCCCGGCGAGGCUUUCGGCAAACAUUGCCUUUGCCCGGUGUUUUUUCUGGUUCAGCUCCCCUCGGCUUCGCCAGGGACGAAUCUCAUCGGGGUCUGGCAGUUUGCUGUUGCCGUCGCAGACAGCCGUCACGCAACGCUGACAUGAUAGAGCGGAGGAGAGCAGCGCUCAACCACCCCCCCUGCUCCAUCUUGAGCCAAAAUGCAUUUGUGCUUCUCCACGAGGACGGUUAUUUCUCCUUGCUUCAGAGCACAGAAAGCCUCGCAGAGCAGCCCGCAGCUCCCAGCACCCUGGGGCUGGCUAUAAAAACCGUAAUACAGCGUUCAGGUGUUCAGAUGAAAUGUUGCUCUCUUUAUUUGUACUUUAAAAAAGAAUGAUCUGGGUAACGACAGCCCUACAGCUCUUGCUCAAGCUUGGCACGAAUUUACAAACUCUCUCGGUGCUCCAAGGAGAGGAGAGAAGUUCGGAGCUCGGCACAUGCCGCGCUGCACGCCGUCGUCCUUAACAGCUCAGCGCUUCGCCCGAGUCGGCCGGUUUGUAACCUCAGAGCUGGAUUUGGCCUCGACUCCCGUAACGCAACCGACCGUUGCUCGAGAGCGGCUCGUCGAAUGGAGGAACCGGCAACGAUUGAUAAACUUAACGUCUGCGCGUAAACCCAGCCUGUAACUCGGCGGCAACGGGCUGGGUUUGUUGUUGCAGUUUUGGGGGGGUGCAUUAAAUGAGUUUAACGAGUUACA